UGGGGUGUAGGUCAACUGGCAGACCGCCCGGCUGUUAACCGGGAAGUUGGUGGUUCGAAUCCACCCGCCCCAGCCU
rnacentral:tRNA from 1 species